AUGAACGCUGGCGGCGUGCCUCAUACAUGCAAGUCGAGCGAACAGACGAGGAGCUUGCUCCUCUGACGUUAGCGGCGGACGGGUGAGUAACACGUGGAUAACCUACCUAUAAGACUGGGAUAACUUCGGGAAACCGGAGCUAAUACCGGAUAAUAUAUUGAACCGCAUGGUUCAAUAGUGAAAGACGGUUUUGCUGUCACUUAUAGAUGGAUCCGCGCCGCAUUAGCUAGUUGGUAAGGUAACGGCUUACCAAGGCGACGAUGCGUAGCCGACCUGAGAGGGUGAUCGGCCACACUGGAACUGAGACACGGUCCAGACUCCUACGGGAGGCAGCAGUAGGGAAUCUUCCGCAAUGGGCGAAAGCCUGACGGAGCAACGCCGCGUGAGUGAUGAAGGUCUUCGGAUCGUAAAACUCUGUUAUUAGCGAAGAACAAAUGUGUAAGUAACUAUGCACGUCUUGACGGUACCUAAUCAGAAAGCCACGGCUAACUACGUG
rnacentral:rRNA from 1 species